rnacentral:lncRNA from 1 species
UAAUGUUAUUAUUUGCACUAGUGUUGUUUCUGACUAUUUUAAUGUGUUGUGGCUGCAGUCUUGGGGGGAUGGUGAGAUCGGUUGGACUAUGCAAUAUUGAUUGUUUCAGACCCUCGGCGACACAUGAUAAAGAUGAUGCACUUACAUGCUGAGGUUGUUUUCUUCUAAUUGAUUAUUUGAUUGGUUUAUGGGAUGUAUCGUUUAUAGGAAUCUGUUCCACUGUCUGAUUUAUUUUCUUAAUAUAUAGAUGGAAAAGUAAUUUAACCAGGUAGAUCAUGAUCAUGUGCUGCUAAAGUUUUCCAUCAAUUUCAUAAUCUAAUCUCUAUGUUUUUAGUAUGAUUCCAUAGACCGGGGUAGUGGAGUCUAUUCUUUGGUUUGAUGUUGUUUGCUAUACAAACAACACUUGUACAAAUAUGUCAACAAUCAUGAAGUAGUAGAUUUACUUCUGCUUCCGUGCAAUGUUACUUUUAAUUUAUUUUUUUUCUGCUCGAAUACUUGAUGAAUUCAGUUGCUUUGAAAUGUUGUUUUCUCUUUUUGCUUCUAUAUAGCGCCGUUCCUAUGAUAUUGUCCUAUGAACAUCAUGUUGAUUUGCUCUACAGAUUUAUGCGGUGAGAUGAUGUGUAAAAUGUUUUUCCACUAAGAGUAUAUAUAUAUAUAUAUAUAUAUAUAUUAAACGCAUAAUACAAAAUGUCUAACAUUGUUGCAUGAGAAGUCAAAAAAACAUUGUUGCAUGAAUAAGUUUGGUUUAAUAUGAGUUUGAUUUUGAUACACUUAAUAUAUACACCAUAAGCAAAUUAG